AUUGAACGCUGGCGGCAGGCCUAACACAUGCAAGUCGGGCGAGUGGCGGACGGGUGAGUAAUGUAUGGGGAUCUGCCUGAUGGCGGGGGAUAACUACUGGAAACGGUAGCUAAUACCGCAUACCAUCAGAUGAACCCAUAUGGGAUUAGCUAGUAGGUAGGGUAAAGGCUUACCUAGGCGACGAUCCCUAGCUGGUCUGAGAGGAUGACCAGCCACACUGGAACUGAGACACGGCCCAGACUCCGACGGGAGGCAGCAGUGGGGAAUAUUGCACAAUGGGCGCAAGCCUGAUGCAGCCAUGCCGCGUGUAUGAAGAAGGCCUUCGGGUUGUAAAGUACUUUCAGUCGGGAGGCGUUACCGGCAGAAGAAGCACCGGCUAACUCCGUGCCAGCAGCCGCGGUAAUUC
rnacentral:rRNA from 1 species